AAGUAUAGUUUAACAAAAACACCAGUCUGUGGUUCUGGUGACAGGGGUUAGAAUCCUCUUACUCACCAG
rnacentral:tRNA from 1 species